AACGCUGGAGCCAGAUGGCUGGGCAAUCCGCCCUCGGCGGAUCGAAGUGGGUUCGACUCCCACCGGCGUUUC
rnacentral:tRNA from 1 species